rnacentral:lncRNA from 1 species
AAGGAUAUCAUCGUUUUUCUUCAAAAUAAUCAAAGUCCUUUGUGGAGAAACAUCAAAGAAGUUUUGGGAUGAAAAAUUAAAGCCUGAUUUUUUAGGAAAUGAGUGGUUUAGAAUAUCCCAUUGGAGAAUAAUGUAAAAACAAGCGAAAAAACAAACAUGAAACCAGUAAAUCUAGUCCCAGAGAACUAGAAAUAAAAGUAUAGAGCCCCUGUCACGGCAGGAUAUAAGAUAUUUGAAUUAACUGACAUGUUGCUGAGACAGUAAGAAGAUAACUGGACUUUGCGCCUGUUCUUAUACACUGUACAGUGUCACAGUAUUUCAUGAGAGGGAAGUUCUUUAGUAUUAGACACUGAUACCAUCUCUGUUAUUAUUCAACUUUUAAUGCACAAAAGAAUGCAUAGGAAUCAACAAGUCACUGAUGAACAAUUGUAUGAAUGAUGAACCCACGAACCAUUCUGUCUAUGUGAAGAACCGAUCGGUACAUAUUCCAAACCUUGAUAAAUCUGAGUCUUGCUGGAAGAACCCAAGCAUAAACAAUCACACAGGUAAUUACUGCUAGCCAUAAACUCCUAGCCACACUAAUUAUUUCAAGCACACACACUCCAGUGCAAAACAGCAAUGAAAGGGGGGA